rnacentral:rRNA from 1 species
GUUGGUGAGGUAACGGCUCACCAAGGCGACGAUCCCUAGCUGGUCUGAGAGGAUGACCAGCCACACUGGAACUGAGACACGGUCCAGACUCCUACGGGAGGCAGCAGUGGGGAAUAUUGCACAAUGGGCGCAAGCCUGAUGCAGCCAUGCCGCGUGUAUGAAGAAGGCCUUCGGGUUGUAAAGUACUUUCAGCGGGGAGGAUGGUGUUGUGGUUAAUAACCACAGCAAUUGACGUUACCCGCAGAAGAAGCACCGGCUAACUCCGUGCC